rnacentral:rRNA from 1 species
UACGUAGGGUGCGAGCGUUAAUCGGAAUUACUGGGCGUAAAGCGUGCGCAGGCGGGCUUUUAAGCCAGACGUGAAAUCCCCGGGCUUAACCUGGGAAUGGCAUUUGGGACUGCAAGGCUGGAGUGCGGCAGAGGAGACUGGAAUUCCUGGUGUAGCAGUGAAAUGCGUAGAUAUCAGGAGGAAUACCGAUGGCGAAGGCAGGUCUCUGGGCUGACACUGACGCUCAUGCACGAAAGCGUGGGGAGCAAACAGG